rnacentral:rRNA from 1 species
AUCUCAGUUCGGAUUGCAGGCUGCAACUCGCCUGCAUGAAGCUGGAAUUGCUAGUAAUCGCGGAUCAGCAAGCCGCGGUGAAUACGUUCCCGGGCCUUGUACACGCCGCCCGUCACACCAUGAGAGUCGGGAACACCCGAAGUCCGUAGUCUAACCGCAAGGGGGGCGCGGCCGAAGGUGGGUCCGGUAAUUGGGGUGAAGUCGUAACAAGGUAAC